AUUAAAAAAAAUAGAAUUUAAUAAUUUAUAAUAAUAAUUAAUAAUGCAUAAUAUUUAAUAAUAAUUUUACCUACACAAUUUCUUGUAUAUUAUUUAAAGAAUCAGAGAAAUCUGAUGAUGUAUUACGGACAAAGCCCCCCAAGUUUGCCAUACAAAUUUAUUUUGAUCCCCUCCCAUGAAACAUUCUCAAUUACGCCACUGUCUGGAGGACCCUUUCCUCCCAGAAAAGUGUUGAAAUUCUGCCACUGCGUCACUGCCUACUAUUAUACCUAACCAAUAUGCACCGCAGUUAAUCAAUCGAAAUUGCCAAUCAGUUUUAAGAUAGGUCGCGUAAUUCGGACCAAUCAAAGUAAUACAAAAAUCCCGUAUAAUAUCGCACAAUGCAAUAUUACAUUACACGCUUAUUGUGGUAACGAUAUUUCAUUUGCUGUUGUAAAUGUUAACAUUUUUCUUCACUAGUUUUUGGCGAUUUUUCAUAAUUUUCCAGAAAUGUAUUGGACAAAUAUUCCAAACGGAUUUUUGCAUGUAACAUUAAUUUCAGAUUUUCUGUAGACUAGUCUACAAGAAAAUUUAAUAGAAUUUUUAUCUUCCAUAGAAAUAGUGAUCAAAGAAAGUACAUAAAGAGUGCUUUAUUUUAAUACAAAUAAUAUUAGACGAGAAUAAUUGGCGUCAGUAAGUGAAUUAAUAGCUUUAAACAAUUUUGCAUCAUCAAAAAAAAGGAAUCUAUUAGAGUAAUUGUUUGAAUAGACUAUAAUAUUGUAUAUUAUAUUACCAUUUAUAAAUACAUCAAAUAAAAGGGGAGAAAGGUGAUAUUUGACCUGAUCCCUGAUUUUUUUUAACUAUUAUGGGUAUAGGUAUUAUUUUUAUUUUUGAGAAUCAUAUUUUCAUUAUUGAUCACGUC